UACGAGGGGGGCGAGCGUUGUUCGGAAUUAUUGGGCGUAAAGGGCGCGUAGGCGGUCGGAUAAGUCUUGUGUGAAAUCUUCGGGCUCAACUCGAAGUCUGCACAGGAAACUAUCUGGCUUGAGUGUGGGAGAGGUGAGUGGAAUUCCUGGUGUAGCGGUGAAAUGCGCAGAUAUCAGGAGGAACACCAAUUGCGAAGGCAGCUCGCUGGGACGUUACUGACGCUGAGACGCGAAAGCGUGGGGAGCAAACAGG
rnacentral:rRNA from 1 species